CAGCCGCCACGGGAAUACGUAGGGUGCGAGCGUUAAUCGGAAUUACCGGGCGUAAAGCGUGCGCAGGCGGUUAUAUAAGACAGAUGUGAAAUCCCCGGGCUCAACCUGGGAACUGCAUUUGAGACUGUAUGGCUAGAGUGUGUCAGAGGGGGGUAGAAUUCCACGUGUGGCAGUGAAAUGCGUAGAUAUGUGGAGGAAUACCGAUGGCGAAGGCAGCCCCCUGGGAUAACACUGACGCUCAUGCACGAAAGCGUGGGGAGCAAACAGGAUUAGAUACCCCUGUAGUCCCUGUCUCUUAUAC
rnacentral:rRNA from 1 species